UAUCUCAGUUGGUAGAGUGUUUGCCUUGCAUGCAGAAGGCCCUGGGUUCAAUCCCCAG
rnacentral:tRNA from 1 species